CAGUGUCUCACUUCAGCACACCCUGAGAGUCCUUGUCUGGAGACCUUGAGUGCUAAAAAGCACAGAGGCCUCUUCUGGGAGAGGGAACCGGGGCAUUAAAAAAAAAGUAAAAUAAAUAAUAACUGGUGCAAGCAGAUAAGAAAGUUUUCCACUAAGCAGGAACAAGCCGUCCUGAAUGUUUCCCUGUCUGGCGCGCAGCUUCUGACGUCCACGGCAUCGUGCAGAUAGGAGAUAAUAACUGAAACAAUUUCACUGUUAACUUGAGGGAUUUGGACGUAGCAGGCGAUGAGACUUUGCAGAGGAAUCCGGGCUAUGUGUAUCACUGUGGCGCACGUAGCAAACUGUUUUUUUUUUGUUUUUUUUUUCCCUCCCCGCAGAUGCUUCUUCACAGGUGUGCCUCCGUGGCUUGAAACCAAGGAGGGAGGAUAAGUGCUGAGUGGGCACAGACAACAGCUACACUGUCUUUGCUAAACAUCUUCAAGGUCCCUGUGGAGGGAUAAAUGGCCAACAGGAGGUGCUUCCACGGGAGACACUCAUCCGGACCUUAAUGGGGUCCCAGCACGCCGCGGCGGGACAGCAGGGCUCGUUGCACUCGCUGUUCCUUUUUCCUAUGCAUAUACUUCUUUGAGAUGUAACUUUAAAGAGGCAUAAGGCAUGGGAAAAUGGGGCUGCUGAGGUAUUCCGCCAUGCAGGCAGUCAUUUCAUCAUCCUCCCCGCCGCACGGUGGCUGACCUCACAGUGUGUGUACACUGACACACAUGCGCGUGCACGCUCCGGGCUUCAGCUUGCCUUGGACUCACAAGAGGAAGACAAGAGGAAGAAGAUACAGGUCAUUUUUAUGUCUCUGUGAUUUGUUUUUAAGUAAAGUUGUGACUGAGAUUUCAUCAGAUGUGUUCAUGAUGGUGUUGUGUGGUGCUACUUUGGUGUUGGAACACUUGUAUUUUUUAUUUAUUUAUUCUUUUUUUUUUUUAAAGCUGUUUGUUAAAUAAAGACAUUAAAUACCGGA